AUUGAACGCUGGCGGCAGGCUUAACACAUGCAAGUCGAGCGAGCGGCGGACGGGUGAGUAAUGUCUGGGAAACUGCCUGAUGGAGGGGGAUCACUACUGGAAACGGUAGCUAACACCGCAUACUAUCAGGUGUGCCCAUAUGGGAUUAGCUAGUAGGUGGGGUAAUCGGUCACCGAGGCGACGAUCCCUAGUUUGUCUGAGAGGAUGACCAGCCACACUGGAACUGAGACACGGGCCAGACUCCUACGGGAGGCAGCAGUGGGGAAUAUUGCACAAUGGGCGCAAGCCUGAUGCAGCCAUGCCGAGUGUGUGAAGAAGGCCUUCGGGUUGUAAAGCACUUUCAGCGAGGAGGCGUUACUCGCAGAAGAAGCACCGGCUAACUCCGUGCCAGCAGCCGCGGUAAUUC
rnacentral:rRNA from 1 species